GUUAUGUAGAAGUAUUUUAUCUGAUGAAGUGACAUAAGUGAAGAUCCUAGUCCACUAGCAAUAGAUAUUGAGCCUUUCCAGUUUAAACCUGUACUUCAAGCAAAAGUAGACAGGCCAAGUUUACCUACCAUGGAAAACAAGUAAAGCUGAGUAAAUCAAAAAUACAAUUUGGUACAGGAAUGACUGGAAAUUGAAAACAGAAAGGUUCCAUCAGUACUGAUCAAAAGUAUAAGCGAACAACAUUUUAGUGACAGUUCAACAAUAUUUGCAGGAAUAUUUUAUCGUUCAGUUUUGAAUGGUUCAGUUUUGAAUGGACCUGUUUCAUACAAUAUGCGAUUCAUGCAAGAGUUAUGUUGUUUUAAAUUAAGUUCAUUCAACAUUACUAGAAAUACACAUUUAAGUAUUUGAUUAUUUUCGUUGUUUUGAAUAAAGAAUGCUUGUAGAUGGUG